rnacentral:rRNA from 1 species
CCUACGGGUGGCAGCAGUGAGGAAUAUUGGUCAAUGGGAGAGAUCCUGAACCAGCCAAGCCGCGUGAGGGAAGACGGCCCUCUGGGUUGUCAACCUCUUUUGUCGGAGAACAAAACCCGGGACGUGUACCGGACUGCGUGUAUCCGAAGAAAAAGCAUCGGCUAACUCCGUGCCAGCAGCCGCGGUAAUAAGGAGGAUGCGAGGGGUAUCCGGAUGUAUUGGGUUUAAGGGGUGCGUGGGCGGUCCGUUAAGUCAGCGGUAAAAUUGCGGGGCUCAACCCCGUCGAGCCGUUGAAACUGGCAGACUUGAGUUGGCGAGAGGUACGCGGAAUGCGAGGUGUAGCGGUGAAAUGCAUAGAGAUCGCGCAGAAUUCCGAUAGCGAAGGCAGCGGACCGGCGCCAGACUGACGCUGAGGCACGAAAGCGUGGGGAUCGAACAGGAUUAGAUACCCCGGUAGUC